UACACACCGCCCGUCACACCAUGGAAGUCUGCAAUGCCCGAAGCCGGUGGCCUAACCACUUAUGUGGAAGGAGCCGUCUAAGGCAGGGCAGAUGACUGGGGUGAAGUCGUAACAAGGUAGC
rnacentral:rRNA from 1 species